rnacentral:rRNA from 1 species
GACGAACGCUGGCGGCGUGCCUAACACAUGCAAGUCGAACGGAGUGGCGAACGGGUGAGUAACACGUGGGUGAUCUGCCUUGCACUUCGGGAUAAGCUUGGGUAACUGGGUCUAAUACCUGAUAGGGCAAGAUGAGGUCGCGGCCUAUCAGCUUGUUGGUGGGGUAAUGGCCUACGAAGGCGGCGACGGGUAGCCGGCCUGAGCGGGUGGACGGCCACAUUGGGACUACGAUACGGCCCAGACUCCUACGGGAGGCAGCAGUGGGGAGUAUUGCACAAUGGGGGGAAGCCUGAUGCAGCGACGCCGGGUGGGGAAUGAAGGCCUUCGGGUUGUAAACUCCUUUCGACAGGGACGCGGUACCUGUAUAAGAAGCACCGGCUAACUACGUGCCAGCAGCCGCGGUAAUUC